rnacentral:rRNA from 1 species
AUACGUAGGGGGCAAGCGUUAUCCGGAUUUACUGGGUGUAAAGGGAGCGUAGACGGCGAAGCAAGUCUGAAGUGAAAGGACGGGGCCCAACCCCGGAACUGCUUUGGAAACUGUUUGGCUGGAGUGCGGGAGGGGUAAGCGGAAUUCCUAGUGUAGCGGUGAAAUGCGUAGAUAUUAGGAGGAACACCGGUGGCGAAGGCGGCUUACUGGACCGUAACUGACGUUGAGGCUCGAAGGCGUGAGGAGCAAACAGGAUUAGAUACCCUGGUAGUCCACGCGGUAAACGAUGAUCACUAGGUGUCCGUGGGUAUGACCCAUGGGUGCCGCAGCCAACGCAAUAAGUGAUCCACCUGGGGAGUACGUUCGCAAGAAUGAAACUCAAAGGAAUUGACGGGG